GUCGGGACCUAAGGCGAGGCCGAAAGGCGUAGUCGAUGGACAACAGGUUGAUAUUCCUGUACCACGUGGCUUCAUUUGACCGAUGGGGGGACGGGGAAGGCUAUGGGAACCCAGGCGACGGUAGUCCUGGGUCAAGCGUGUAGGGGGAGCCCAUGAAAAAUGCGGGGCUCCAUAACCUGAGGCGCGAUGACA
rnacentral:rRNA from 14 species